UGUUAUUAUCUGUAUUUUACAAAGAGGAAAAUUGAGGCUCUGAAAAGUUAAAGGAUUUGUUCAACGUAACACGUCUAUUAAGUGGUGAAACUAGGGUUUGAAUCCAAGUCAGCCUUACUCCCAACCACUUUCCACUUCAUUAUGUUGUCUUAUUGAUGACUUCCUGCCAGGACUUCCCAAGUGUUCAUUUUCAUGUCUGCAGCUCAUUUAAUUACUUUUAGUUCCUUUUUCAUUUUCCAAUCCAGUCAUCUAUACUAUUACCCUAUGUCAGUGAAUGACAUCCAGUUGGUUCAGUAUUUCAAAAUUUCUGGCCCACCUUCUCUUCUCAUCUGUAUCUGGUUACCUUUUUAUCCACCUUAUAUAUCAUUUCCUAGGAAAGAUUCCAUGACCUCCCAAGGAUUGACUUUGUACUUUUCAUGUGCUUAUACAGCACAAACAGAAUCCUCUUUGCCCUAUCAAGGUAGUAAUUACCAGGUAUAGAAAUUAUCUGUUUGCUUAUUUACUCCCCAACUACACUAGGCUCCUAAGGACUGUGGCAAUAUUCAUCUUAUUUAUGAGUCAUAUCUACAGCCUAGCACAGUGCCUGGCACAUAGCAGGUGCUCACUACAUAUUUUGUUGAAUGAAUGCAUAAAUGAAUGAGGUUACACACAUACCUCUAUGACAUAGUUUGGAUAUUAGUUCCCUCCAAAUAUCAUGUUGAAAUUUCAUCCCUAAUGUGGGAGGUGGGGCCUAGUUGGAGGUGUUUGGGUCAGGGGGGCAGAUCCCUCAUGAGUUGCUUGGUGUCAUUAUGUUAGGAUUGAGUGAA
rnacentral:lncRNA from 1 species